AACCCAUGGUGAGGGAACCUUCUCAAUAAGUCCUUAUACCUAUCCUAUGCAUCAUAUAGGGUCUCUAAAUCUAUUGGCACAAAGGACAAGAUAUCAUUCCUCAACUU
rfam:Gossypium arboreum cultivar AKA8401 contig_6860_5, whole genome shotgun sequence.